CAGCAUCAAUGCUUGGCAAAGUGGGGGAGGAGGCAAAGGAUACGAGAGUGUGAAAAAUAAUUUCCUGCCGCUGAUAUGUGGCGGAUCGGACGAGAAGAAAAGUCCUGGCCGGGGGAUAUCAAAAUAUUAUUCGAGGGUUACCUAGGGUAGCUCCGCAUUCUCGCGCCAUAUAGGAGCCCUGUUGAAGCUAAAGUGGAUGGUUAUUGCCCUCAACCUGACCGCACAGGCUGGCACACUCGACUACCUCAUGGCGGAGAAUGUAUCUCACCGUUUCUCAUUUUAUUCUGCAAAAAUUAAAAGACAGGAACUGUGCGAGUAAAAUCGUCCAUCGGUUCCGGUAUCACCACGAAUCCACGAUCCAGAAGUAGGUGCAGGCGCGCGCGCGUGUUUGCGCCCAGUUGGGAAGCGUUGCACUCUCACACAUGCGCGCACAAGUACAGCAAGUACUUACAAUUAGUACGGGGAACGCAGCCCCAAGCUGUGAGAGACGGUCGAUAUGUGGUCACAAUGAAGGGUGUGGCGUUCGAGGACCAAAAGCUCUCUCCUGUCCGCUUUAUCCUACCAUUGGCUGUUGCCAGGUGUCGAGAAUGGCGGACCUUUCUCGCCGUGGCCCUCCGGCUUCUCUUAACAACACUUCAAGUCUUCUCGCCACCGCCACCAAAGAUUUUGCUUUAAUUGCGACACGUGGAAUGGAAGCAGCUUUCUGAUUUGCGAUUACACGCGUUAGUGUAGUUCUUAGAUCCUUAGAUUAUUGAAUCAUUGUACAUUCGUAAUUAAUCUUUAGUAUUCCUUGUUGCAUUCAAGUUCCUUGUUUCAUUGUUGUAGUGUAGUACAGUGUUAUAGUAGAUUAUAUUUCUUUCUUUUGUUUAAUGUGAUGUUGAAAGUGCUGAUAGAAUAUUUACUUUAAUUUUGGUUGUUUUCAGUUAUAGUAUACUCAGAUAGUAGAAUCAUAGUACGGUAUAGUAUAUACAUUGUAUACUUGUAUGUGGUAUUAAAUAUUUUUGAUUUAUUGAUAUUGACAUUAUUUAUUUGAUUUAUUGGA